CCGAGUUUACAACUCCCAAACCCCUGUGAACAUACCUAUACGUUGCCUCGGCGGAAUCAGCCCGCGCCCCGUAAAAAGGGACGGCCCGCCCGAGGACCCCUAAACUCUGUUUUUAGUGGAACUUCUGAGUAAACAAACAAAUAAAUCA
rnacentral:misc_RNA from 1 species